AGGACACAUCUCCUUAGAGAGACUGGUUUCUCAGUGGCUUAAUAUCGGUUUUGGGGGUGCUGGAUAGGGACGGAGAUUUGCUUCCCACGCGCUUCGGGAGCUCGAUCAACGGAGAAACGAAGUCAGCGAGUGCGAGGGAUAGAAAAGAAGGAACGCAUGGGUUCGGGAGCCUUUCUUAGGGUUGUGGCUCGAAACUUUGAUGUUCUUGCUGGGCCGUUAGUUACACUUGUAUACCCAUUGUAUGCUUCAGUGAAGGCCAUAGAAAGUAAGUCACCUGUUGACGAUCAGCAGUGGCUUACUUUUUGGGUGUUGUAUUCCUUGCUUACGCUCUUUGAGCUAACAUUUGCAAAAGUUAUUGAAUGGCUUCCAUUUUGGCCUUUUGCAAAGUUGAUUUUCAACUGCUGGCUAGUUUUACCGUACUUCAAUGGUGCUGCAUAUGUCUAUGAGCAUUUCGUCAGGCCACUGGUUUUAAAUCAACGGACAGUUAACAUUUGGUAUGUCCCACAGAAGAAAGGUAUCUUCAGUAAACCAGAUGAUGUUCUAUCAGCUGCAGAGAAAUUUAUUGAAGAAAAUGGACCAGAAGCAUUUGAAAAGCUUAUCAACAAGGCUCGAGGCGCAUCAAAGUCCAAGAAGAGCAACAAGCAUGUAACUUUUGACAUGGGUGAGGCUGAAAGGGAAUCCAAGUCUUGGAAGAGCUAUGUUAGAUUCAGCAAGUUGGAUGCUAAAAAGAUAUCGAAGUCAUCAAAGAGCAACAAACAUGUGUCCUCUGAUGAGAUGGAGGUCGAAAAGGAGUCAAGAACCGGGGCUAAUAAGAUGGAUGCUGAAAAGGAAUCAAACCCCUCAAAGAGCGAUAGGCAUGUGACCUUUGAUGAGAUGGAUGUCGAAAGAGAAUCAAGGUCCUGGAUGAACGGCAGUUUCAUGAUCUUUGAUGAUGAUGGUAGAUAUUGGAACUAGAACUUGUCUGGUGAUGAUGAAGAUAUGUGCGCAUUAAGAAUCAGUGGACCCUCUCUUUGUUCUUUAGAAAGCUGAAACCAUCCUUGAGUUUACUCCACGCUGUCAGCUGCAGAGUAAAGUGAAACUCUGGUGCCAUGAAGUUAUACAAAGCUGAUUUCAAAUGGUUGGAUUAACAUAUUUAACUUCUGGAAACAUGUUGUGAGAAACAAAUUGCACACUUGGCUUUAGUAACACAACAUGGACAUUCAAGAACAACCAGAAAUACUGUUUCUUCCAGAGUUGACAUUGUGUUGGUUGUACAGUAAUUCAAUGUUUCAUCUUCAUUUGUUUGUCAACUUCUAUGAACAUAGCUCAACAUUGUGUUGAAGCAUCCAUCUUUGCUGGUUGACAUGACAAUCCCUGUUAGAUGUAACUUGAAUCAAGUUGAUGUGUGCCUGUAUAAAGUUAUAAUGGAACUCAUUUGUUUUGGUA